rnacentral:lncRNA from 1 species
UCCAACUCCAGCCUGUGCGACGGCGCGAGACUCCGUCUAAAAAAUAAAAAAUAAAAAAAAGAGCUCUUGUAAAUAGACAAACAAUGAUGAAACUCAGAUAUAUUCUCAGUGAGAAGGAUUAGUCACAAAACAGCAAAUGCUGUUUGAUUCCAUGUUUUUGAAAUUCUGAAAAAUUGAAAGCCACAGUGAUACAAGGUCAAGAAGGUCUGCUGCAGUUUGCUGGAAGUCCACUCCAGACCCUGUUCACCUGGGUGUCACCAACGGAGGCUACAGAACAGCAAGGAUUGCUGCCUGCUCCUUCCUUUGUAAGCUUCAUCCCAGAGGGGCACCUGCCAGAUGCCAGCCAGAACUCUCCCGUAUGAGGUCUCUGUCGACCCCUGUUGGGAGGUUUCACCCAGUCAGGUGGCAUGGGUGUCAGGGACCCAGCUGAGGAGGCAGUCUGUUCCUUAGAGCUGGUACACUGUGAUGGGAGAAUCCCUCCUGUCAGGAUCAGCUGCUCUCUUCAGAGCCAGCAGGGAGGAAUAAUUAAAUCCGGUGAAGCUGAGCCCACAACUGCCCCUUCCCCCAGGUGCUCUGUUCCAGGAAGAUGGGGUUUUUUUCUAUAAGGCCCUGACUGGGGCUGUUACCUUUCCUUCAGAGAUGCCCUGCCCACUGAGGAGGAAUCUAGAGAAGCAGGCUGGCCACAGCCACUUUGCUGCACCCAGCUCAUACCUCCCAGCCUCCUUAGCACUGUAAGGGGAAAAUCACCUACUAAAGCCUCAGUAAUGGCAGACGCCCCUCACCCCACCAAGCUUGAUCAUCCCAGGUCGACUUCACACUGCUGUGCUGGCAGUAAGAAUUUCAAGUCAGUGGUUCUUAGCUUGCUGGGCUCUGUGGGAGUGGGACUCAUUGAGUGAGAUCACUUGGUUCUAUGGCUUCAGCCACCUUUCCAGGGAAGUGAACGGUUUUGUCUCACUGAGGUUCCAGGUGCCACAGGGGCACAAAAAAAUACUUCUGCAGCUAGCUUGGUGUCUGCCCAAAUAGCGGCCCAGUUUUGUGCUUGAAACCCAGGGCCCUUGUGGUGUAGGCACACAAGGGAUUCUCCUGAUCUGCAGAUCGCAAAAAUGAUGGAAAAAGCAUAGUAACCCGGCCGGGUAGCACAGUCCCUCAAGGCUUCCCUUGGCUUGGGAAAGGAAGUCCCUGGCUCCUUGUACUUCCCAGGUGAAGUGAUACCCACCCCUGCUUCUGCUCUCUCUCUUUGGUUUGGACCCACUGACUAACAAGUCCCAGUGAGAUGAACUGGGUACCUCAGUUGGAAAUCACCUGCCUUCUGAGUUGGUCUCAUUGGGAGCUGCAGAUUGGAGCUGUUCCUAUUUGGCCAUCUUGGCCACUAAGUUUUUAAAUAAUGACAUUAUUCAUUUUACAUCUUACCAGUGCAUUUAUAGUCACAAUUAUUUUGAAGAAUUGCCAAGAUAUAAUCAAGACCAAGUGAUUUAAAAAAUGUAUGCUCAAGUAUUUGAUAUUUCAAAUUAUAAGAAAAGAUAAUAUUUCUGGUCACUUAUAUUUAAAUGUCUAAAUUAUUUAUCUCUAAAAAGAUAUUUUAAUAGAUUCAAUGCCUAAAAUAUGCUUGAUAUCAGUUAGGGAAAUAUAAAUUGUGAAAUUUGAUUCAAAAUAUUUGGUAGUAAAACAUCACCAAGAGGGGUAACUAAGUGUUGAACAGUAUAUUAAAUUUAAAUACAGAUGAUUCUUGACUUAACAAUUCUUUGACUUAAAGUUUUUCUACUAAAAUGUUG